UACAGAGGUCUCAACCGUUGUUCGGAUUCAUUGGGCGUAAAGGGUGCGUAGGCGGCGGGGCAAGUCAGGUGUGAAAUCUCGGGGCUCAACCCCGAAACUGCACUUGAUACUGCCUUGCUCGAGUACUGGAGAGGAGACUGGAAUUUACGGUGUAGCAGUGAAAUGCGUAGAUAUCGUAAGGAAGACCAGUGGCGAAGGCGAGUCUCUGGACAGUUACUGACGCUGAGGCACGAAGGCCAGGGGAGCAAACAGG
rnacentral:rRNA from 1 species